UACGGAAGGGGCAAGCGUUGUUCGGAAUCAUUGGGCGUAAAGGGCGCUUAGGUGGUUCUGUAUGUCUACCGUGAAAGCAUACAGCUCAACUGUAUUUUGUCGGUAGAAACUGCAGGACUUGAGGCUGGGAGGGGCUGGUGGAAUUCCCUGUGUAGCGGUGAAAUGCGUAGAGAUGGGGGAGAACACUCGUGGCGAAGGCGGCCAGCUAGACCAGUUCUGACACUGAGGCGCGACAGCGUGGGGAGCAAACAGG
rnacentral:rRNA from 1 species